GAUCAGGCAAAGUCCCUCACACCACUCACGGUAGGAUAAUGAUCUGUCCCAUGCUUUCUCCUAAGCUGCUGUCCCCACUGUCCCAGAGAAAGAACAUUCUUCAGAGCCCUACUAUGCUCAGAUCAUGAAGAGGAGCCCGCCGGAGGGUAAUGAGCCGGACCCUUGCUGCCCACGUGAGAGGUCAGAGAGGCCACUGAUCACUGUCUAUGAUCAGAUUCGAAUGGUCCGAGCUGAUUCCUCGGAGCAGCUCACCUAAGCCAGUAGAGAGAAGAGUGCAGCAGAGAUGGUGCUGUCCUGCAAUGUC
rnacentral:lncRNA from 1 species